rnacentral:rRNA from 1 species
GACGUAGGAGGCGAGCGUUAUCCGGAUUCACUGGGCGUAAAGCGCAUGUAGGCGGUUGUGUAAGUCCGUUGUUAAAGCCCCUGGCUCAACUGGGGGAGGUCAAUGGAGACUAUACUGACUUGAGGGCAACAGAGGCACACGGAACUCCCGGUGUAGCGGUGGAAUGCGUAGAGAUCGGGAAGAACACCCGUGGCGAAGGCGGUGUGCUGGGUUGCGACUGACGCUGAGAUGCGAAAGUGUGGGGAGCAAACGGG